CCUGCCCCUAGAGGCUUUACAGGUGUGCCUGCUGUGUCACAUGUGUGUCAGUAGGUGGCAGGGAGGUGAAAGACUAUGUCUAUGCUCAGUGUUCUAAGCUGUGAACCUUUGAUUGAUUAGUAGUCAAACAUU
ensembl:snoRNA LOC120096800 small nucleolar RNA SNORA17